rnacentral:lncRNA from 1 species
GCAGCAUAUCAGACAGGGACUUCGACUGCUCCUCAGAUCUUCAUCCCGUGACACAGAUGAAAAAACUGUCAUAGCUAUACCUCUUUUCAUAGCCUUCAACUACAUAGAUUUAUGUAUUUUGAUAAUAUUUGCCGCAUCUUGUUUUUUUUCAUGUCACUAAGUAAUACCUUCGCCUUAUCUGCAUAGCUUAACACUUAAAAUUCCAUCUUUUGUGAUGACUAUCUUGCCUUUAAUGUGUUACUGUUGUGAGUGAUCAAUGAUGAAUAAUGAAAACAGUUUUAUAAGUUAUUAGACUUAUUCACAGAGUUUAAUGUUUUUUGUUUUUUGUUUUUUUUUUAAGAAAAUGUAUUAUCUAAAUAAUACUGGAGAUGUAAGUUGGAGCAGGUCUGAUCCUACGAUAAACACUUCUUAGAUUUUUACAUCAGAUCUGUAUUUAAGUGUUUCAGAGUUUUGAUUAAUGUGCAGAAAUACACUGACGUUCGCACCUGUUGCUCCUGUCAAACAGUGAUGUUCCGACGAAUAAAGCUUUUAUCAAGUUCAGUCGACCUCGUGCCUAUUUGUUAUUCUCGCUUCCAUCCAUGCGUGAGGAAUUUUUUUUAUUUUUUUAUUUUUUUCCUGCUGAAAUCGGAUCCUGCUGAAUGCAUCCAACAGGUAAAACGGGCUCCGCGCGCCCGUGCGCUCUGCGCGCCACCGCGGCGCACCUGAGCUCCACGUGUGAACCCGCGCGGAGGAGUCACUCACUCCUCGGCUGGAGCGGAGGCGCGAGGAGGAUCUGUCUCUGAUCUGCGUGCAUGAGGGGGACCGUGCGUGCACCGCCCGAUCUGGAACCUCCGCGUCUGCAGGCAUCAGAUGAUGCCUUGGAUUUAGCCUGCCCACAUGAGUGAUAUGAAUAAGACGCUGGACGAAAUACACACUUCUGGACGCCUCGGAGAGAAAGCAGAGAUUUUCCAGAGUGGCCGGGGUAAUGUGAGUGGCUGCUCCAGCCCAGCCCUCAUCCCGCUGCAGGAUCCUUUACUGACACCAAAUGCAAAGACGAGCCAGACCAAGCUCUGCAGAGGGACCAGGAGCAACAGAGAGGGGCAGGAAGCGUUCUCCUCCCUCGUUCCGAACCCCUUCCCCGAGCUCCUGCACUCGACCCUCUCCCCCUUCGUCUCCGAGUGUUUAUUACCGUGGACCAAAAGUAGUGCAACUCAGGUGAGUGUCCCAUUUGCAGUGCAAACACAAAAUAAAAGUCUGUGCUGUAACCUUUUCCAUAUGCUACCCCGGGCUGCAGCGUCACCGGAGCAAACGGCAGAAAACAG